CGAAGGCUGACCCUGCCGGAGGGAUCAUUAAAGAAAUUUAAUUGAUUUGUCUGAGCUCGGAGAGAGACAUCUCUGGGGAGGACCAGUGUAGACACUCAGGAGGCUCCUAAAAUAUUUUCUCUGCUGUGAAUGCUAUUCAUCCUGCCUGCGCUUAAGUGCGCGGUUGGUGGGUGUUCUGCAGUGGGGGGAGGGAGCCGACAAAGACCUGGGAGUGUGCGUGGAUCUCUCUAUUCCAAAGGAGGUGUUUUAUCACACGACUCGACACUUUCUAAUUACUACACACAGUGGAGUUUACUUUACUACUAUUCUUUUGUUCGUUGGGGGAACGCUCUCUUUCGGGGGGGGAGUUCUCCCAGUGGAUGCAAACACAAACAAAUAUUUUUUUUAAAAUAUUUCAUCCACCCCAAAAUUUUUUUUAUAAAAAAACACUUUCAAAAUUUUCAACAUGGAACCCUUGGUUUCUCCAACGAAGAAAAAACCCACCAAAUGGCAAACCUAAUGGGGAUUGGCAAAAUUCCGGGAAUCACCAAACCUUUAACCCACCUUGGCCCCCUCGGUUAUCCCGGGGGCCUUGCCUGUUUGGGCGCCUUUUCCUUUCCAACACCUUGGGUUUGGGUAGGAGGUGUUCUUCUGUUUUUGAAGUUACUUUGAAUUGUAGGCCUAACAGUAUUUGGAACCAAGGGAAGCUUUCUCAAUUAUCCUGCUGCUCGUUGGCCGAGCGCGGGGUUAUACUGUAUUAGGUUUACAACUCGUUGUUGAUCUAGGGAAGGAUAGUGAUGUCUGUGCUGCUGGGCAAACGACGUCUUUAGUUUGACCUCAAAUCAGGUAGGGUACCCGCUGACUAGCAUAUCAUUAAAGCGCGAGAGAA
rnacentral:rRNA from 1 species